rnacentral:rRNA from 1 species
AUACGUAGGUGGCAAGCGUUGUCCGGAAUUAUUGGGCGUAAAGCGCGCGCAGGCGGCUUCUUAAGUCUGAUGUGAAAUCUUGCGGCUCAACCGCAAGCGGUCAUUGGAAACUGGGAGGCUUGAGUGCAGAAGAGGAGAGUGGGAUUCCACGUGUAGCGGUGAAAUGCGUAGAGAUGUGGAGGAACACCAGUGGCGAAGGCGGCUCUCUGGUCUGUAACUGACGCUGAGGCGCGAAAGCGUGGGGAGCAAACAGGAUUAGAUACCCUGGUAGUCCACGCCGUAAACGAUGAGUGCUAAGUGUUAGAGGGUUUCCGCCCUUAAGUGCUGCAGCUAACGCAUUAAGCACUCCGCCUGGGGAGUACGGCCGCAAGGCUGAA